UGGAAGAACAAGCCCAGACACGUUUCUUCACAGAGCCCAAGGAAAACACUUUACCGAACUCAUAUGGGAUGGCCCUGUAAGUUGUGCAGCACUGUUGUACCAACCAAGAGUGACAUUUUAAAGCAUUACAGACUGCACCAUGGGACCUUUGGACACAGCCAUUCCUUGCCUUGCAUUCAUAUUAAUGAAGCGUUCCGAAGGUGCACUGCUGUUCCACUGGAAUCAACAUUUAUGUCCCAACUGGACAGGUACACGCCAAAACUCCUGGAGCUCUUCAGUGCAAAAGGAGGAGUGACUGCAGCGCAUCAAGAACUUGUUGAUGGAACUGACACAGGACCCAAGUGCCUCUGCAGUGAAGAAGAGAGAUGUGACUGUGAGAUGGCUCAUAGAGUACAUGGGAGAGAGUGGACAGGAGCUAAUCUCUGACUACUGGAACUGCAGAGACCGCUGUUCAUGAGGACCUGGAAAUUAAGAAUAUGAGCAUCGACAUCUGUCGUGAGCCAAAUGCAGUAGGAAUCAUCAUUGAGGGAGUACCAGUCCUUACUCAUCUUGGAAACCUGGCCAAAGCAUGCUGCCUACUUCUGGGGUUGACGUAUGCACUUAAUCUUGAGUAUCCAUCCAAACUUUCCAAAACAUUUGAGGUGUUUCAAAGACUUUUUGUGGGACUUGACACACUGCGCCCAAAACCAAACCCCAAAUUCAUGACUCUCAAAAACAAGCUUCUAGCUUAGGCAGUGAGCCAUGACUUUUAGCUUGCACUUUUGAACAGCUAUUUUCUUGUGUCUGUUCAAAAUCAUUAUACAUUGUUCAUUGAGUGGAAUUCUUCAGAAUGUUGUAACGGUUUGUCCUGUUCAGGUUUUAUACAAAGCUCCAGGUCAUCGUUUCUGGUGUGUAAAUUAAGUUUUUUUUAAUGUUUUAUACACACUAAAUUGCCCCACUGUGAAGCUCCAGCUGGUCAGAAGGAGGGAUCUGUGAGUUGUUUAAGUUAAAAUGUUUCAAAAUAUACACACUGAAAGACACUACAGUGAAGGUAUUCUGCUUGUGAAUUGUUACAGAAGUACAGAUAAUCUUAAUGUUAAAUUGUUUUAGCAAGAAACUGUACUGUGAAUGUUCUAAGUAAAACUUGAGAUGCUGAGGUCAUGCAUUCUUUUAUGCACUAAAUACUGAUGUUCUUGACUGUUAAUACUGUCCAGCUUAUUGACAGGUUUGGAUAUGGCUUGUGAAAAUGUUUUAAUAUGUAUACGGUUAAAAAAAUGAAAACUACUGUGAAGGUGUUCUAUAC